rnacentral:rRNA from 1 species
ACCUGCGGAAGGAUCAUUGUCGUGACCCUAACAAAAAUAGACUGCGAAUAUGUCAUCCGAGUCGUCGGGUGACGGUGCCAUCACUGUCUCUCGGCAAUAGGCCAUUUUCCUUCCGACGGAGGGGAUGUGGUCCAAAAGAACCCACGGCGCCGUAUGGCGUCAAGGAACACUGUUGCGUGCUCAGGGCCACGAUCGGCGUGCUGAACGAGCCCUGCGCUGCCGUGCUACCUGAAUGUAUAAGACUCUCGGCAACGGAUAUCUUGGCUCUUGCAUCGAUGAAGAACGUAGCAAAGUGCGAUACCUGGUGUGAAUUGCAGAAUCCCGUGAACCAUCGAGUUUUUGAACGCAAGUUGCGCCUGAGGCCUCUUGGUUGAGGGCACGUCUGCCUGGGCGUCACGCCAAAAGACACUCCCUUGCGAUCCUUGCGUGGGAUGUGGUGUCUGGCCUUCCAUUCUACUUAUAAGGUGUGGUGGGCUAAAGGAAGUGGCUGCUGGCUAUGGCGCCAGUCACAGCACUUGGUGGAUGACGCAUGUUGUUCUCGAAGUUGUGGCUUGUACUGAUUCCGGUAACAUUGGCCCUUUGGACCCAUGGAUUGAGCAUCGAUUGCUUGCACCGCGACCCCAGGUCAGUCGGGAUUACCCGCUGAAUUUAAGCAUAUCAAUAAG